UAGAGUCACUUGUUACCUGUGGGACUGUGACUCUGGGGGAGGUAACAUGUUUGUGGUUGUUGAUGUCGGGCGACGGGUAUGUGAGAGUUUUAUGUAUCCUCUACCUUUGUGUAUGUUUUUGAAAUUUUUCAUAAGCAGAAAACAAACAUAAAUAUACACAAACACUCUAUUUUUCCAUUAUUAACAUUAUAAAUUUAUGUUUAAAGGUACACAUGAGAUGUUUUAGAAGGAUACACACCAUAUUCCGACUGUAGCUACCUCCAGACGAUGGGACUAGGAGGUAGCAGAGCAGGAGGGGGCAGAGCGGAGUGAGCUGGGAGGUGUCCUCAAGCUGGGAGGUGUCCGUGAGCUGGGAGGUGUCCUCGAGCUGGGAGGUGUCCUCAAGCUGGGAGGUGUCUGUGAGCUGGGAGGUGUCCGUGAGCUGGGGGGUGUCCUUGAGCUGGGAGGUGUCCUCGAGCUGGGAGGUGUCUGUGAGCUGGGAGGUGUCCUCAAGCUGGGAGGUGUCCGUGAGCUGGGGGUGUCCUUGAGCUGGCAUGUGAACUCUCCUCCCCUCCUCCUCAUAACCUCUCCCUCCUCAUGAUCUCAGUGCUUCCACUUAUUUAAAAUCACUCAUUUAAAUGAGUGAACCUCCACUCGUGUAAAAUCACAGCUCAAUAUCACUCCCUCGGGGACGCUUAAACAGGGAGUGCCGUGGGCAGCCCUCCUGCACAGGCCACCGCUGCUCACACACUUCAUCUUCACAACAUUUAUCUCAGUGGUCAUUUACAUUAAUCUCUGUGAAAAUUUGAGAAUUCUCAGGGGGAGAUUCUCCACUGUUCUCCGCAGGAAUUUCUGUUCCCAGGGCUAGUUUUAUACUGAUCCAUGUGAUAAUUUGUGGAUGCCUCCUAGCUAUGAGCUCUAAGGAAGCAGAAUUUUUCAUUAUAUUCCCAGCUUUGAUCACAGUGUCCGGCAAAUGGCAGGUCUUCAAACACGUGGGCUUUGUCAAAUUCUUUGAAAUUUCUACUAGAAUGUAUUCAUUUUUCUGCCACUUAAAAUAAUUUUAAGUUAUUGUUUUAAUUUGUUGUAAAUUUUGUUUGACUUUGAGGAAAAUGUAGAAAAAUAAUCUAAAAUCUUGAAGAUAAGAAAGAACUUAAAUGUCCAUAGACAAUAAGCAAAGGAUAGGUUAUGGAAUUGCACAGAUUUUAAAGUCUCUGAAUGCAGAGUGUGUCAUCAUGACUUUGUAAGGCAAGUGAACUGGAGGAAAGCAUUUGAAGACAACAUGACAAACAACAAGUUUGUAUCCUUAAUAUGUAAAGAGCAUAUUCAAAUCAAUAUGAAAAAAGAUAUCUGUAUACAAAGGAUUGGCAUGAAUAAAAAGUUCAAGAAAGAAGACACACAAAAACAAUGGAGCCGCAAUGGAAGCAACAUCACUAAUUAUCCAAGACAUGCAAACGAAACGAAAAUACUUCAAGUUCAUCGGGUGAGAAAAGACUGAAACUCACUGCAAUAGCUGAUGCCAAUGAGGGUCUGGGGGAUGGAUUCUCAGGACCCUCUGGGGGCUGGUAAGUGUCCCCUGUUCGAAGCUUCUGGGGGCAGUUUGGUGAAAUGUGCCGAAAGGCUUUCACAUUUGGAGAUGUUUGCUCCACGAAGAAAUGCCUACAAGGACAGGCUCACAGGACCUGUGACUAGAGCCAAGCUCCCGAAGCAUGUAGGGCUUAGCUGCUCCCACUAAGAUCACCAGCCCUGAGUCACUCCCUCUGUGCCCUUCCCCUACCCUCGCAUCCCUGUGGGAGCUGUCCCUGCCUCCACCUCUCCCCCACUCCCCGAUCAGGGACUUAUUGUUUUUUGGUUUAUGCUGGAGGAGCAGUGACAACAGACCAGGGCCAGGGGUGGAGACCCACACAGUAGGUCCACAGUCACUGCGAAAAUGUGCACGCCACAAUGUUGAGUAAUUUUAAAAAAGGACCUUUUGUAUAUUAGGACCCAUUUUGUUUCAAAAUACAUGUAUGACAUCACUAUGCAGAAAAUGUUAAAGCUGUAAAAACAUGAACAGAAUGCCUGAAGCGUGGGCCGUGGAGGGGCACGCUGACCUGCACACGCCUCCCACUUCAUGGAAAUGCCUUCGCGCUGCUUACUUUCUUGCUUUUCUUUCACAGGAGGCUUGUGUCACUUUUACAACCAGCGAAGUCACGUGUAGGUUCCGUGUCCAGGAAGAGAACCCCACCGCCUCCUUCUGGAUGGCAGGUGUCCCUCUCGGCUGAGCAGGUGUCUGGGACCAUGACAUCCAACCUGGGCUCUCCUGGCCCCCAGAGAAGAGCUGCCCAGUGCAUGUGCUGGCUGCACCGUGACGUCCCCUAUGAACGAGGCCCACAGGCAGUGGCUGGCUGGGGGGAUGCCCCUGCCCUGAGCUGGAGUCUCCCCAGGUGGCUGCUUCUUCCCCACCCCGAGGGUCACAGCCCAGCCCAAGCUCCAAGGGAAUGGAGCAGCUGCCUGCACCAAGCUUCCCUCCUCUGGAGAAAGCACCUCCUCUUCUCCCUCACGUGCUCCCUGAUGACCGCCAGGCUCCUUGACAUGGUUCCCAGGACCAGCCUCUCCCAGGGUCCCUACUCCCAGUACCCCAGUCCUCACCAUUUGUGACCCUUCAGCCCCUGCUGAACCCUGCCAGCCCCAGGACAGGCCACAGCUGUCAUGCCACCUCCCAGCCAUGAUGAAUGGGGAACGGGGAACUGUCUGACCUUGGGCUGGGUUCAAAAGCAGGGUCAGCCCAGGCACAGAGCCUGUUUGUUUGAGUGAAUUGAGUGGGAGGCUGCUUUCUCAUCGGGCUGAGGAGGGUUCAGAGGAUUGUGGUCUCUUUGUUUUCAUUCAAGGCUCCAUCAGCCGGGGCCCUGGCAGGAACCAGAGUUCACUCAACCGUUCACAGAAGGGUGCCUUGCAGAGGCGCAGGCAGGGUGAGCAAGGAUGGCGUGGAACUCGAGGGGGGGUGCCACAGUGGAUGUUGUCGCCACCUGUGGCCUGAGGAGCAGGGCAGGAGCCAUGCUGCUGGGUCCCAGGGAGGCCAUGCGGGGCACUCCACAGAAGCUGGGUCUGGAGACUGGGGGUCCCCGUGAGGCCAUAUGGGGCACUCUACAGAAGCUGGGCCUGGAGACUGGGGGUCCCCGUGAGGCCAUGCGGGGCACUCUACAGAAGCUGGGUCUGGAGACUGGGGGUCCCCGUGAGGCCAUAUGGGGCACUCUACAGAAGCUGGGUCUGGAGACUGGGGGUCCCCGUGAGGCCAUGCGGGGCACUCUACAGAAGCUGGGCCUGGAGACUGGGGGUCCCCGUGAGGCCAUGCGGGGCACUCCACAGAAGCUGGGCCUGGAGACUGGGGGUCCCCGUGAGGCCAUGCGGGGCACUCCACAGAAGCUGGGCCUGGAGACUGGGGGUCCCCGUGAGGCCAUGCGGGGCACUCCACAGAAGCUGGGUCUGGAGACUGGGGGUCCCCGUGAGGCCAUGCGGGGCACUCCACAGAAGCUGGGCCUGGAGACUGGGGGUCCCCGUGAGGCCAUGCGGGGCACUCUACAGAAGCUGGGUCUGGAGACUGGGGGUCCCCGUGAGGCCAUGCGGGGCACUCCACAGAAGCUGGGUCUGGAGAUGAGGGUCCCCGUGAGGCCAUGCGGGGCACUCCACAGAAGCUGGGCCUGGAGACUGGGGGUCCCAGCUCUUGCCAGCAGCACAGCCCCAUGCAGGGAGGGCACGAGGAAUAAAUGCCGCGACCU
rnacentral:lncRNA from 1 species